GAAAAAAGGAAGGAUUCUAACUUUCAGAAAGCUUCAUAAUUACAAAAAUAUGAGGGAGCACUAAAUGCAGAAGUCUGAUAGAGUUGAGGCUGUUGCAGCUCCAUGCCCCCAGGUUCAACCAUCACAAGCUGUGCUUGUACUCUCAGUAGGAUUCCUCAUGGUGGAAGAAGAGCCUUUGGGAGGCUGUUUGCACUCCUAUCAUCCCUUAGCAGGUGAGUCACUGUUACUGAGGUUACCCUUCUGACACUGCUCCCUGAGGCUCUCCUCUAUGUGAAUGCACACUUUUUUAUCACAAAACAUAAGUAUCAGCCUAAUCCAAAACAAUGGAAAGUUAGUGGAAGAGAGUGCAAGUUACUGUGAGCUUUGGAUCGGGAUUUGAAACUUUUAUGGCAACACUUCUGGCAGCCUAAGGAAUAUAAUUUUGUAGAACAUUUUCGACAUAUCCCAUUAGAAUGCCUGAGUUGCAAAACUGCAGGUAUGUAAGUUAGGAUCUCACUACAGAAGUUGAGGUAGAUUUAAAGUAAAUAAAGCUGACAUAUGCU
rnacentral:lncRNA from 1 species